GGAAGUAAUUAAGGGCGUACGGUGGAUGCCUAGGCUCUUACAGGCGAUGAAGGACGUGAUAAGCUGCGAUAAGCUGUGGGUAGGUGCAAAUAACCAUUGAUCCGCAGAUUUCCGAAUGGGACAACCCAGCAGGUUGAAGACCUGUUAUCCCGCAAAUGCGGGAGGCUAACGGGGGGAACUGAAACAUCUUAGUACCCCUAGGAAAAGAAAAUAAUAAUGAUUCCCCUAGUAGUGGCGAGCGAACGGGGAAGAGCCCAAACCAUAUAGAUUUCGGUCUAUAUGGGGUUGUAGGACCACGACGUUGCAAGAAGUACGAUUAGAGGAACGCUUUGGAAAGAGCGACCAUAGAGAGUGACAGUCUCGUACUCGACAAUCGUAUGAAGCAUAGUGGUAUCCUGAGUAGGGCGGGACACGUGAAAUCCUGUCUGAAUCCGGCGGGCCCAUCCGCCAAGGCUAAAUACUCGUAAGAGACCGAUAGCGAACCAGUACCGUGAGGGAAAGGUGAAAAGCACCUCUUUUAGAGGAGUGAAAAAGUUCCUGAAACCGUACGCCUACAAGCGGUCGGAGCACCUUAUGGUGUGACGGCGUGCCUUUUGCAUAAUGAACCUACGAGUUACCGUCGUCGGCAAGGUUAAGUGCUAUGAAGCACGUAAGCCGAAGCGAAAGCGAGUCUGAAUAGGGCGCAUAGUCGGCGGUGGUAGACGCGAAACCAAGUGAUCUACCCUUGUCCAGGUUGAAGUCCCGGUAACACGGGAUGGAGGACCGAACCAAUAAGCGUUGAAAAGCUUCUGGAUGAGGUGAGGGUAGGAGUGAAAGGCCAAUCAAACUUGGAGAUAGCUCGUACUCCCCGAAAUGCAUUUAGGUGCAGCCUCGGGCGUUCCCUGUGUGAGGUAGAGCGACUGAUUGGAUGCGAGGGCUUCACCGCCUAUCAAGUCCAGACAAACUCCGAAUGCACACAGGCUAAGCCCGGGAGUGAGGGCGUGGGUGCUAAGGUCCACGCCCGAGAGGAGAAGAAUCCUGACCACCGGCUAAGGCCCCGAAAUAUAGGCUAAGUUAAACUAACGAAGUGUGGUCCCCGUGACAGCUAGGAUGUUGGCUUGGAAGCAGCCAUUCAUUCAAAGAGUGCGUAACAGCUCACUAGUCGAGGGACUGUGCAUGGAUAAUAAUCGGGUAUAAAGUCUAUUGCCGAAGCCGUGGGAUAUCUAUUUGAUAUCGGUAGGGGAGCAUUCAUGCGGCCUUGAAGAUAGAGGAUAACCUCUGUUGGAGCUUCAUGAAAAGCAAAUGUAGGUAUAAGUAACGAUAAAGAGUGUGAGAUGCACUCUCGCCGAAAGACUAAGGUUUCCAGGGCAACGUUAAUCGGCCCUGGGUCAGUCGGGACCUAAGGUUCAACCUAAUGGUGAUGCCGAUGGCAGAAACGGUUAAUAUUCCGUUACUAUCUUUGUUGGCGAUGUGGAGACGGAGGAGUGACACUUCCGCGAGCUGACGGAAUAGCUCGUUAAAGAUUGUAGGUUAUGAGGAUGGCAGGCAAAUCCACCAUCCGAGCUGAAAGUCGAUAGUAUACAGCGUCUUCGGACAAUGUAAUAGUGAAGGUAAUCCUACUCCCGAGAAAAUCCGCUAAGCUUAACAUCAAAGAUACCCGUACCGUAAACGGACACACGUAGUCGGGUAGAAUAUACUAAGGCGCUUGGAAGAUUCAUGGUUAAGGAACUAGGCAAAUUGACCCCGUAACUUCGGAAUAAGGGGUCCUCACAGUAAUGUGAGGCGCAGAGAAUCGGCCCAGGCAACUGUUUAACAAAAACACAGGGCUGUGCAAAAUCGAAAGAUGCAGUAUACAGUCUGACACCUGCCCGGUGCUGGAAGGUUAAGAGGAGAGCUUAGACGUAAGUCGAAGGUUUGAAUUGAAGCCCCAGUAAACGGCGGCCGUAACUAUAACGGUCCUAAGGUAGCGAAAUUCCUUGUCGGGUAAGUUCCGACCUGCACGAAUGGUGUAAUGAUCUGGGCACUGUCUCAACCAUGAUUCCAGUGAAAUUGUAGUAUCGGUGAAGAUGCCGAUUACCCGCGAUGGGACGAAAAGACCCCGUGAACCUUUACUAUAGCUUAACGUUGUAAUUGGGCAGUCGAUGUGUAGGAUAGGUCGGAGGCUUUGAAGCAGGCACGCCAGUGUUUGUGGAGCCGCUGUUGAAAUACGACCCUUUGGCUGUCUGGUUCCUAACUCUCAGAUGAGAGGACCGCGUUUGGUGGGUAGUUUGACUGGGGUGGUCGCCUCCAAAAGCGUAACGGAGGCUUCUAA
rnacentral:rRNA from 1 species